rnacentral:rRNA from 1 species
AUUGAACGCUGGCGGCAGGCCUAACACAUGCAAGUCGAACGCGUGGCGGACGGGUGAGUAAUGUCUGGGAAACUGCCCGAUGGAGGGGGAUAACUACUGGACACGGUGGCUAAUACCGCAUACCAUCGGAUGUGCCCAGAUGGGAUUAGCUAGUCGGUGGGGUACAGGCUCACCUAGGCGACGAUCCCUAGCUGGUCUGAGAGGAUGAACAGCCACACUGGAACUGAGACACGGUCCAGACUCCUACGGUAGGCAGCAGUGGGGAAUAUUGCACAAUGGGCGCAAGCCUGAUGCAGCCAUGCCGCGUGUAUGAAGAAGGCCUUCGGGUUGUAAAGUACUUUCAGCGAGGAGGCGUUACUCGCAGAAGAAGCACCGGCUAACUCCGUGCCAGCAGCCGCGGUAAUUC